rnacentral:rRNA from 1 species
UGGGGAAUAUUGCGCAAUGGGGGAAACCCUGACGCAGCGACGCCGCGUGUGGGAUGACGGCCUUCGGGUUGUAAACCACUGUCGCGAGGGACGAAGAUCUGACGGUACCUCGAAAGGAAGCACCGGCUAACUCUGUGCCAGCAGCCGCGGUAAUACAGAGGGUGCGAGCGUUGUCCGGAAUUACUGGGCGUAAAGGGCGCGUAGGCGGCCCGAUAAGUAGGACGUGAAAUUCCGCGGCUCAACCGCGGAACUGCGUUCUAGACUGUCAGGCUUGAGCACGGUAGAGGCAGAUGGAAUUCCCGGUGUAGCGGUGGAAUGCGUAGAGAUCGGGAAGAACACCAGUGGCGAAGGCGGUCUGCUGGGCCGUUGCUGACGCUGAGGCGCGACAGCGUGGGGAGCAAACAG